AUGAACAAGGUGCUGGCCUUCUCGAUCCUUAGCGCGUCGCCGGCCGACAUCGCCCCCGAGGGGAGCUGGGCUCGGCUCUCCUGGCGGGGGAGGAAGCUGCAGGAGGACAAACAGGCUGGAGCAGGGCAACAGGGGAAGCAGGGCGGUCUACGGCCGGAUGCAGAGCAGCAGGCGGGCAAGGGAAAUCUAUUUUGA
rnacentral:rRNA from 1 species